rnacentral:tRNA from 1 species
GGGGUCUUAGCUCAGUUGGUAGAGCACCACAAUGGCAUUGUGGGGGUCAGGGGUUCGAAUCCCCUAGGCUCCACCA